GACGAACGCUGGCGGGCGUGCUUAACACCUGCAAGUCGAGCGGUAAGGCCCUUUCGGGGGUACACGAGCGGCGAACGGGUGAGUAACACGUGGGUGACCUGCCCUCAGCUCUGGGAUAAGCCUGGGAAACCGGGUCUAAUACUGGAUAUGACUCCAUGACGCAUGUUGUGGGGUGGAAAGCCUUGUGCGGCUGAGGAUGGGCCCGCGGCCUAUCAGCUUGUUGGUGGGGUGAUGGCCUACCAAGGCGACGACGGGUAGCCGGCCUGAGAGGGCGACCGGCCACACUGGGACUGAGACACGGCCCAGACUCCUACGGGAGGCAGCAGUGGGGAAUCUUGCGCAAUGGGCGAAAGCCUGACGCAGCGACGCCGCGUGAGGGAUGACGGCC
rnacentral:rRNA from 1 species